rnacentral:rRNA from 1 species
AUUGAACGCUGGCGGCAGGCCUAACACAUGCAAGUCGAACGGCAGCACAGAAGAGCUUGCUCUUUGGGUGGCGAGUGGCGGACGGGUGAGUAAUGUCUGGGAAACUGCCCGAGGGAGGGGGAUAACUACUGGAAACGGUAGCUAAUACCGCAUAACGUCGUAAGACCAAAGUGGGGGACCUUCGGGCCUCACGCCAUCGGAUGUGCCCAGAUGGGAUUAGCUAGUAGGUGGGGUAAUGGCUCACCUAGGGGACGAUCCCUAGCUGGUCUGAGGGGAUGACCAGCCACACUGGAACUGAGACACGGUCCAGACUCCUACGGGAGGCAGCAGUGGGGAAUAUUGCACAAUGGGCGCAAGCCUGAUGCAGCCAUGCCGCGUGUAUGAAGAAGGCCUUCGGGUUGUAAAGUACUUUCAGCGGGGAGGAAGGCGGUGAGGUUAAUAACCUCGCCGAUUGACGUUACCCGCAGAAGAAGCACCGGCUAACUCCGUGCCAGCAGCCGCAGUAA